AGGGCGCACGGUGGAUGCCUUGGCACUAGAAGCCGAUGAAGGACGUUACUAACGACGAUAUGCUUUGGGGAGCUGUAAGUAAGCUUUGAUCCAGAGAUUUCCGAAUGGGGAAACCCAGCAUGAGUUAUGUCAUGUUAUCGAUAUGUGAAUACAUAGCAUAUCAGAAGGCACACCCGGAGAACUGAAACAUCUUAGUACCCGGAGGAAGAGAAAGAAAAUUCGAUUCCCUUAGUAGCGGCGAGCGAAACGGGAAGAGCCCAAACCAACAAGCUUGCUUGUUGGGGUUGUAGGACACUCUAUACGGAGUUACAAAGGACGACAUUAGACGAAUCAUCUGGAAAGAUGAAUCAAAGAAGGUAAUAAUCCUGUAGUCGAAAAUGUUGUCUCUCUUGAGUGGAUCCUGAGUACGACGGAGCACGUGAAAUUCCGUCGGAAUCUGGGAGGACCAUCUCCUAAGGCUAAAUACUCUCUAGUGACCGAUAGUGAACCAGUACCGUGAGGGAAAGGUGAAAAGCACCCCGGAAGGGGAGUGAAAUAGAACCUGAAACCGUGUGCUUACAAGUAGUCAGAGCCCGUUAAUGGGUGAUGGCGUGCCUUUUGUAGAAUGAACCGGCGAGUUACGAUUUGAUGCAAGGUUAAGCAGUAAAUGUGGAGCCGUAGCGAAAGCGAGUCUGAAUAGGGCGUUUAGUAUUUGGUCGUAGACCCGAAACCAGGUGAUCUACCCUUGGUCAGGUUGAAGUUCAGGUAACACUGAAUGGAGGACCGAACCGACUUACGUUGAAAAGUGAGCGGAUGAACUGAGGGUAGCGGAGAAAUUCCAAUCGAACCUGGAGAUAGCUGGUUCUCUCCGAAAUAGCUUUAGGGCUAGCCUCAAGUGAUGAUUAUUGGAGGUAGAGCACUGUUUGGACGAGGGGCCCCUCUCGGGUUACCGAAUUCAGACAAACUCCGAAUGCCAAUUAAUUUAACUUGGGAGUCAGAACAUGGGUGAUAAGGUCCGUGUUCGAAAGGGAAACAGCCCAGACCACCAGCUAAGGUCCCAAAAUAUAUGUUAAGUGGAAAAGGAUGUGGCGUUGCCCAGACAACUAGGAUGUUGGCUUAGAAGCAGCCAUCAUUUAAAGAGUGCGUAAUAGCUCACUAGUCGAGUGACACUGCGCCGAAAAUGUACCGGGGCUAAACAUAUUACCGAAGCUGUGGAUUGUCCUUUGGACAAUGGUAGGAGAGCGUUCUAAGGGCGUUGAAGCAUGAUCGUAAGGACAUGUGGAGCGCUUAGAAGUGAGAAUGCCGGUGUGAGUAGCGAAAGACGGGUGAGAAUCCCGUCCACCGAUUGACUAAGGUUUCCAGAGGAAGGCUCGUCCGCUCUGGGUUAGUCGGGUCCUAAGCUGAGGCCGACAGGCGUAGGCGAUGGAUAACAGGUUGAUAUUCCUGUACCACCUAUAAUCGUUUUAAUCGAUGGGGGGGACGCAGUAGGAUAGGCGAAGCGUGCGAUUGGAUUGCACGUCUAAGCAGUAAGGCUGAGUAUUAGGCAAAUCCGGUACUCAUUAAGGCUGAGCUGUGAUGGGGAGAAGACAUUGUGUCUUCGAGUCGUUGAUUUCACACUGCCGAGAAAAGCCUCUAGAUAGAAAAUAGGUGCCCGUACCGCAAACCGACACAGGUAGUCAAGAUGAGAAUUCUAAGGUGAGCGAGCGAACUCUCGUUAAGGAACUCGGCAAAAUGACCCCGUAACUUCGGGAGAAGGGGUGCUCUUUAGGGUUAACGCCCAGAAGAGCCGCAGUGAAUAGGCCCAAGCGACUGUUUAUCAAAAACACAGGUCUCUGCUAAACCGUAAGGUGAUGUAUAGGGGCUGACGCCUGCCCGGUGCUGGAAGGUUAAGAGGAGUGGUUAGCUUCUGCGAAGCUACGAAUCGAAGCCCCAGUAAACGGCGGCCGUAACUAUAACGGUCCUAAGGUAGCGAAAUUCCUUGUCGGGUAAGUUCCGACCCGCACGAAAGGCGUAACGAUUUGGGCACUGUCUCAACGAGAGACUCGGUGAAAUCAUAGUACCUGUGAAGAUGCAGGUUACCCGCGACAGGACGGAAAGACCCCGUGGAGCUUUACUGUAGCCUGAUAUUGAAAUUCGGCACAGCUUGUACAGGAUAGGUAGGAGCCUUUGAAACGUGAGCGCUAGCUUACGUGGAGGCGCUGGUGGGAUACUACCCUAGCUGUGUUGGCUUUCUAACCCGCACCACUUAUCGUGGUGGGAGACAGUGUCAGGCGGGCAGUUUGACUGGGGCGGUCGCCUCCUAAAAGGUAACGGAGGCGCUCAAAGGUUCCCUCAGAAUGGUUGGAAAUCAUUCAUAGAGUGUAAAGGCAUAAGGGAGCUUGACUGCGAGACCUACAAGUCGAGCAGGGUCGAAAGACGGACUUAGUGAUCCGGUGGUUCCGCAUGGAAGGGCCAUCGCUCAACGGAUAAAAGCUACCCCGGGGAUAACAGGCUUAUCUCCCCCAAGAGUUCACAUCGACGGGGAGGUUUGGCACCUCGAUGUCGGCUCAUCGCAUCCUGGGGCUGUAGUCGGUCCCAAGGGUUGGGCUGUUCGCCCAUUAAAGCGGUACGCGAGCUGGGUUCAGAACGUCGUGAGACAGUUCGGUCCCUAUCCGUCGUGGGCGUAGGAAAUUUGAGAGGAGCUGUCCUUAGUACGAGAGGACCGGGAUGGACAUACCUCUGGUGUACCAGUUGUCGUGCCAACGGCAUAGCUGGGUAGCUAUGUGUGGACGGGAUAAGUGCUGAAAGCAUCUAAGCAUGAAGCCCCCCUCAAGAUGAGAUUUCCCAACUUCGGUUAU
rnacentral:rRNA from 1 species